AGCAGGUAAGUAAAGAACAUCUGAAUAGAGGUAAAAAGAUAGGCUACGGAUUGGAGUCAAAGGAAGUACUUUGUCCAUACAAGUAGAACAGACAUCACACUUGCUGGGACUCGCAGGUCACUGAACUUGGCCACAAUGUCAUGUAGAUGCACAAACAUUAAGGAAACCUGCAACCACAGACAACAUUAAUGGAUUAGAUCGAGAAAUAAUCAGGAAAGUUCAGCCUUGCUUAGUUACACCCAAAAUCUAAAAACUUUUCAAGAUUUUCCAUCACAUUGAAUCUUGCGGCACAUGUAUGGAGCAUUAAAUAUAAAUAAAAAAAACUUAUUGCACAAUUUGUUUGUAAUUUGCGAGAUGAAUCUUUUGAGCCUAGUUAGUCCAUGAUUGGACAAUAAUUGCCAUAUACAAAUAAAAGUGCUACAAUAGCCAAAUCCAAAAAGUUUUUGGAACUAAACAAGGCCUUAGAAAACCAAGUAUAGCCAUGUAUCACCAUAUCAAAGUAGCAAAUACUAUAACCUAGCCUAUGUCAACACGGCACCAACAUGGCAUCAGCACAGGUAAAGCCCAACUAAAAAGUAGUUAUCGCUUAAUAUCAUACCAUUUUUAGAGUACAUACAUUUUAUCUAUUGCAUUCUUACCUACACAAUUCAGCUUAAAAGCACGAGCUCUGAAAAAAAAAAAUCAGAUUUUUCUAUAACACCACUGAACCUACCUUUCCUAAGCCUAGAGCACUGGAUAGCAAAGACGAUCCUUUCCUGAGGAUGAAAGUGGCCUGAAAAUUAGCAAACACAGUA
rnacentral:lncRNA from 1 species